rfam:Asian citrus Psyllid, Diaphorina citri - Florida Strain, whole genome shotgun sequence.
UAUGCGUGCAUUGUAGUUGCAUUGCAUGUCACCUAGUUUUAUUUCCCUCAUGCAAUGUUCCUGCAAUACAAGCCAUA